rfam:Staphylococcus sp. CAG:324 genomic scaffold, scf15
AUUAAUCUUCAGGGCAGGGUGUAAUUCCCGACCGGCGGUAAAGUCCGCGAGUCAUUUCAAUGACAUGAUUUGGUGCAAUUCCAAAACCGAUAGUAUAGUCUAGAUGAAAGAAGACAUAA